AUUGAACGCUGGCGGCAUGCCUUACACAUGCAAGUCGAACGGUAACAGGUCUUCGGAUGCUGACGAGUGGCGAACGGGUGAGUAAUACAUCGGAACGUGCCCAGACGUGGGGGAUAACGAGGCGAAAGCUUUGCUAAUACCGCAUACGAUCUAAGGAUGAAAGCAGGGGACCGCAAGGCCUUGUGCGUUUGGAGCGGCCGAUGGCAGAUUAGGUAGUUGGUGGGAUAAAAGCUUACCAAGCCGACGAUCUGUAGCUGGUCUGAGGGGACGACCAGCCACACUGGGACUGAGACACGGCCCAGACUCCUACGGGAGGCAGCAGUGGGGAAUUUUGGACAAUGGGCGAAAGCCUGAUCCAGCAAUGCCGCGUGCAGGAUGAAGGCCUUCGGGUUGUAAACUGCUUUUGUACGGAACGAAAAGGCUCUGGCUAAUACCUGGGGCACAUGACGGUACCGUAAGAAUAAGCACCGGCUAACUACGUG
rnacentral:rRNA from 1 species